rnacentral:rRNA from 1 species
UACGUAGGGUGCGAGCGUUGUCCGGAAUUACUGGGCGUAAAGAGCUCGUAGGUGGUUUGUCGCGUUGUUCGUGAAAACUCACAGCUUAACUGUGGGCGUGCGGGCGAUACGGGCAGACGUAGAGUACUGCAGGGGAGACUGGAAUUCCUGGUGUAGCGGUGGAAUGCGCAGAUAUCAGGAGGAACACCGGUGGCGAAGGCGGGUCUCUGGGCAGUAACUGACGCUGAGGAGCGAAAGCGUGGGGAGCGAACAGG